GAGGAAGAUCUCCAGUGAAGAGGAAGCUAUCAUGGCUGAGGUCCACCGCUACCGUGAUGACCAACGGUAAUGGGGGAGCCCUGUUCCUGUCCCCCAACAUGGUCACUCGCCCUGACUGUCAGUCUUUCAAAAAUUCUCUCAGGUCCUAGUCUGUCCUACAUCUUCUCUUUGGUGGAACUUCAGCAAUGACCUCCACACACUCUUUCCUUACCUCACUAAGACUGCCUGUACUCUUCUUGUAGUGGGCCUUCUCUCACAAUUUUUCCAGGCUGUUCUCAGCACUUUUCUUUUUCCCCUCACCAUGCAAUACCUCAGUAUGCUCUGAGGGCCCCAAAUCCAUUCCCAUGACCUCUAUACCCAAAAAAAGUUUAACCUCUCCCUACACAGCAGGCAAACUCUCUCACUCCAGGGUGAGAGAAUGCUGAAUCACAGUUUCAUUCCUACAAUUAAAAACAGUCUUACCUUUCCUUUAUACCAAUCUUGCCAUUCUUACCUCUCACCUUUGUCCACUCUCUAACCUUUCUCUCUUUUCCUGUACAGGUGUUUCUGUUUUCCUGUUAACAGCUGUGACAGCUUCAAACUUUGCCAGGCCAUUUCCCUGGAGACGAAGGGUGAAUGUGUGUGCAUCCACUCCAAACUGGACAUGACAUCUGAGGCAGUGAAAUGCCUGCAGCAGGCCCUGAAGCCUCUGGCAAGUGAGAUCUCACUGCACUGGGACCUUCCACCAGGCCUGGAGGUGACAAUGAUUAGAAAAGCUCCCAAGUCGAUCUUCCAGGGACAUCAGAGCAUCAUCUAUGCCCAGAUCCAUGGACAAGCACAGGUGAGAGAUCAGAUCCAGAAGCAAGGCUUUCUGGAAGGUAUAGGAAACACUCCCAGUUUCAUGUUCUCAACACAGGGAGUCGUUCACCUCUACUAGACCUGGGAAAGACCAGUGUUAUGUCUCUGUGAACCCUGUUUUUUCCCUCCGAGAUACCACUGCCUCUGCUCCAACUACGGACAUCUAUCUACUACUUUAGCAGAGCAGAGAUGGAAGCUAAGUGGCCAGCCUCCCUGUGCUUUGCAGAUAAACUUUUCUGUCUGAUUCUUUCCCUUGUGUCCCCAGGAUCCAGAGGCAGAUGUGGCAGCUGUGACCCUAAAGUACCUUGUAGACAGUCAGUCCUUCGCUUACACACUCAGGUUCUCACUGCUCCCAUCAGCAGAUGACAGGUGAGAGGAUAACAUAAUGGCCCACAAAGACAAAGGGAUAUUAUCAAGGUCUCAAGGAGGGACAACAGGUGUCCUUUGCUUGCAUACCUUGAGAUGGGAAGACAAUAUAGGUUUCCAGUGCUCCCAACUUAUCUCCUCUGCCUUGACAUGGGGAGAGGAUUUGGGUGACCAUUGCCCCACUGCCCCCUCAUCUUUACUCCUGCUGCUACUCCACAGCAGCCUUGGUUGAGGGAAACACUGUUGACGUAGUCUACCUAGACUUCAGCGAGGCCUUUGACAUGGUCUCCCACAAUAUUCUCCUGGAGA
rnacentral:lncRNA from 1 species